UAUUUAUUAGAUAAAAAACCAAUGCCCUUCGGGGCUCCUUGGUGAAUCAUAAUAACUUAACGAAUCGCAUGGCCUUGCGCCGGCGAUGGUUCAUUCAAAUUUCUGCCCUAUCAACUUUCGAUGGUAGGAUGGUGGCCUACCAUGGUAUCAACGGGUAACGGGGAAUUAGGGCUCGACUCCGGAGAGGGAGCCUGAGAAACGGCUACCACAUCCAAGGAAGGCAGCAGGCGCGCAAAUUACCCAAUCCCGACACGGGGAGGUAGUGACAAUAAAUACUGAUACAGGGCUCUUUUGGGUCUUGUAAUUGGAAUGAGUACAAUUUAAAUCCCUUAACGAGGAACAAUUGGAGGGCAAGUCUGGUGCCAGCAGCCGCGGUAAUUCCAGCUCCAAUAGCGUAUAUUAAAGUUGUUGCAGUUAAAAAGCUCGUAGUUGAACCUUGGGCCUGGCUGGCCGGUCCGCCUCACCGCGUGUACUGGUCCGGCCGGGCCUUUCCUUCUGGGGAACCUCAUGCCCUUCACUGGGCGUGUUGGGGAACCAGGACUUUUACUUUGAAAAAAUUAGAGUGUUCAAAGCAGG
rnacentral:rRNA from 1 species